GACGAACGCUGGCGGCGUGCUUAACACAUGCAAGUCGAACGGAGCGAAUGAAAGCUUGCUUUUAUGAGCUUAGUGGCAAACGGGUGAGUAACACGUAGACAACCUGCCGACAGGAUGGGGACAACAUUCCGAAAGGAAUGCUAAUACCGAAUGAAGUGUAGGGGAGGCAUCUCCUCUACAUGAAAGAUGGCCUCUAUUUAUAAGCUAUCACCUGUCGAUGGGUCUGCGUCUGAUUAGCUAGUUGGUGAGGUAACGGCUCACCAAGGCGACGAUCAGUAGCCGGUCUGAGAGGAUGAACGGCCACAUUGGGACUGAGACACGGCCCAGACUCCUACGGGAGGCAGCAGUGGGGAAUCUUCCGCAAUGGGCGCAAGCCUGACGGAGCAACGCCGCGUGAGUGAAGAAGGUCUUCGGAUCGUAAAGCUCUGUUGACGGGGACGAACGUGCGAGAGGUGAAUAA
rnacentral:rRNA from 1 species